ACCCGCCUAGCUCAAUCGGAUAGAGCGUCAGACUCUUAUACCUAGCCGGACCAAGACAAGGGGUGAUCUGAAGGCUGCGAGUUCGACCCUCGCGGUGGGCU